AUGUUUGGAAUUGUAUUUUGGCAGACUGGAUCAACCAUUAAACAACAACAAGAUAUAUUCAACAUACUAGGGCUUAUAUACGGAUCAGCAUUGUUUCUUGGCUUCAACAACUGUUGUAUCUUACAACCGGUUGUGGCAACAGAGAGGAUUGUUCUCUGCCGAGAAAAGGCAGCAGGCACAUACUCUACGUUGGCCUAUGCCAUAGCUCAGGUGGCAAUUGAAUUGCCUUACAUGCUUGUCCAAGUGUUCAUAUUCGCGACAAUAGUAUACACAAUGAUUGGAUUCCAGAUGACCGCCAAUAAGUUCUUUUGCUUUCUACUUUACAUGGUGCUAAGCUACAUGUACUACACACUCUUCGGGAUGAUGACAGUGGCACUAACACCGAACAUUGAGAUAGCUUCUGGAUUGUCCUUCCUUAUCUUCAUCGUUUGGAACAUCUUCUCCUGCUUCAUGAUCAGAAGAGAGAUGAUCCCUGUCUGGUGGAGGUGGGUGUAUUGGGCAAACCCAGCAGCAUGGACGGUGUACGGACUCAUGUUCUCCCAGCUUGGUGAUCGGACAGAGCCAAUUCUUGUACCUGGACAACCAAACCAGACAGUGCGGGAGUUCCUCGAGGGCUACCUUGGCCUCGAGGACCACUACUUCAACCUUAUCACGUACCUUCACGUGGUCGUCAUCGCCUUCUUCGCCUUUAUCUUCUUUAUCUCCCUAAAGUAUCUCAAUUUCCAACGGAGAUAG
rnacentral:rRNA from 1 species